rnacentral:lncRNA from 10 species
CAAAACUCAGCUUUGCCCCUGCACGGAGUUUCCCUUCGCGGGGCCCGCUGGGGAAGCAUCCGCGGCUUGUGGUGGCUGUGGUUUUGUGCCCAGGACUCACACGUAAAAGGAGCUCAUUCGGAGGCAGGGGCACGCGCUUGUCCCCAGAACUCAAACCCCAGAGUCCCUCCGGUAGAUGAGAGUGGAGGUUGUAAAUCACCCUCCAUGCAAUGGUUCAUCAUAAAGGAUAUGGAGCAAAAUUAGAGGAGGCACGAGAAGGAAAGCCGGUGAUGAACAAGGAUUUGCCUCAACUACAGAGACAGCAUGGAACACGCCCUCCUAGGCUGCCCACAUCCUCAUCUGCAUGGGGGCACAGAAGCCUGGCCAUUCAUCCCAUGGGAGACUCAGGACAUGCUCCCAGCAACCUGAUGGGCUGCCCAAGGCUUGGCUGAUCCUGCAUCCCUGCAUCACAUCUCAGCUUCUCCCUCUGCCCAAAUCUACUUCCUCCCCAUUCCUUUCACAGGCAUUGAUUCCCUGAUAAACACCUUGCACCCCAUAUUCCAUCUCAGAGUCUCCUUGCAGAGAACCCAACCUGUGGCAGAGCUGGUCUCAGGACUCGGAGCGAGGGAGCAGGGAAAGAGGACAGGAAAGCAGGGAGAGUCAAUUUAAGGGUAUGUUGUCUGAGACAAAGAUUCUGCUAGGACCUCUGAGAUGGGUACAAGAUGCCUGGAGCCAUUCACUGGGCAGUAUCUGUCCAUCAGCUCCCAGGCCCCACAGAACCGGAGCUGCCUGUGAGGGCUUUCACUGCCCUGCAUUUCUGGGCUUCACAUAUGCACUGGCUGAGAGGGCUCCCUGUCUUCAAGGACGAUCCUGAGCAGAAAGUGGGUGCACUUGAGGUGGCAUGCUGUUGCGAGAGUCUGAGCUUUAUGAGAAGCAGACCCAGGGGGCAUGGUGUGGGGCAUCCCAAAGGACCUGCCAUACAUUAGGUGCCUUGGUCUUGGGGAGGAGCCCUCGGGAGUUCUGAGGGUGGGAGAAGAGGUAGGUGGGGUUAAUCCUUUCCCAUUCCCUCCCUGCCUCAGCACCAUGGCUCAGGCAGUAGCGCUGCCAGCUCCUCCUGGGAUCAGAGUUAUGGCCCUGCUCCCCUUGUCCCUUCAGGCUGAGGAACAUAAGGGCUUCCCAUGGUUGCUGGUGUCUGAGUGCCUCAACCUCCCUUGCUGGUUCCUUUCCCCUGCCCACACCUUUGUCAAUAGUUCCCCCCACUGAAGUCUCUUUGGUUGAGCAGUUGGUGGGGAUGCUGACUGAUAAAGUGGUCUAGGCCACUGCUCACUGCUUAAAGCCUUGCUUCAGAGAGACCUUCCAGGGCCCUGCAGCUCCCCCUUCUCCAACCCCUCCAACCCCUCCAACCUUUCUCUCUCCCAGCUGGUCUGGGUUCCCUACGGCAUCUACUUGCUUUUGAAUCUAUUUCUUAUAGAUACAUGUGUGUCCUCCUCUUUCACAGCCUUACCUUUUCAUAUGGAGGAAGAAAAAACCCAUUUCUAUAAAGCUAUUAAAUGUUUUCCUUUCACAAACACCAGUUUUGUACAUCAGAAGCACUGCCUUUCAUGCCUAUUGAAUUCUCGGAAAUGGGCUUCGAGUGCCUAUUUCAGGAGUUGAAAUCUGAACAUCAGCUCUUUCUUCCUCUCUGCAUUCCUGCCACACAGUCCUAAUCCUCUCCAGUGUGAUGGAUCCCUCUGGCUGGGUAGAAGGGAGAUCAUUUAAAGGAAAUUUGAAAAAGAAAAGAAUAGUAUUCCAUUUCAAGAGAUUUUUCUCCUGACACAGUUAUUUUCAACAGGUGACAGGUAUUGAUACUGAUGAAAGAUUCUUGAGUGAAUACAAACCACUCCCCACCCCCAUCCCCAGCAUACAUUCUCUAGAAAUUCCAGAAUGCCCAGUGAGUGGAUUCAUUCCACAUAUAUUUAGUGCCUAACUACAUGCCAAGGAGCUGGGUGCUAAGAACAAAAAAGUAUGAUUCCUGCCCUCUGCCAUAGAGUUUGUGAUCUGUGUUGAUGCAUUAAA